rnacentral:pre_miRNA from 1 species
GACGUCUUGGUGACAAGCUCUGAUUGUCCAAACGCAAUUCUUGUGUUUUCUUAACUAAACAAGAGCUGUGCUGGGCAUCACAAGUUGUCAUCAACAAUCAA